CAGACGCCAACUUCAGCACCCAAGAUGAAGACCUUCUUCCCAAAAUUUGCCAUCAAACAAUACAGCACGUAUGUCGCAAUGAUUGUGAUUUUUGUUCACAAUUAUGUGCUUGACGAGGAUUUAAACUGCACUUGCGAUGCUGAUAUAACAACCUGCUCUUUCUACUUGGUUCUACCUUUUUUAAUUUUAUUUUCUUUACAACUCUGGACAGACGAGCCAUUCAAGAGAGUCUGGAAAUACACAUGUCCUACAUGCACAUGUUGUUGUUGUUUUUGCAAAUGCAGGUGCAAACUUUUCUUGGUUUUGUGUUUACAAAUUAUGAAGGCAGUUUGCAUUGGUCUGCUUUGGGUAUUGUCCGUGUUCAUCGAUGGAGACUGGUUUGUUUGCUGUUGCAAUACGUAUAAAGAACAUCCACAGUUAGGCUGCAAAGACAAAGAAAACAUUACAGCUGAGGAACGAGUCCUGAUUGCGAAGCUGAAAAACAAAUCCAUGCUUAUUGGCUUGGGUGCACUCUUGGUUGGCUUUGUUUUUGUUACCUUUGUGUUACCACUUGGAUGGAAGAAAUGCUGUGAAAAGAGAGAGAAUUGCCCAAGUUGCUGCGACAGAAAACUUCUCUACGACCAAAUGAUUUUGGAAGAGGAAGAAAAUGUACUCACAGAGAUGAUAAGAAAAGCAGCAAAAGAUAAGCUGACCGAAGAAAUGCAGAAGAAACUUGGCAGUGGACAAUGGGGGGAAUGUUUUGAUGUUGCUGAAAAGCUGAUUGAAAACAAAACUCCACCAGGACAGAAGGAGGACAAACUAAUGGAGGAGUCUGAUUCAGAAAAACACACAACAGAAAUGUGAGGAAAUUAUCGUCACUGCGACCGUCUUAUCAGAAUUCAGAAGUUUCAUUUUCAGUUUAUCAGAAAAAAAAUAUGUCUGUACUUCACAAGUGAAAGGAAACUAUAGUAAGAUUGUUAUGUUAUGCUUCUAAAUACCAUGUUAUGGUGAUACAUGUAUGUUUCAUAUAUUUCAAAGUUUUUUUUUUAUGUCACAUGAGGGUAGAUUUUUAAUGGUGCUAUUUUUACGCUAUGAUAUUGUUUGAAUUUCACAAAUGUGAGCAUGUUAUAAGGAGCUUCUACAGAAAGCCUUAGAGUCAUUGUGCAUCACUUGGUAGCUGACAGCUUGUCUCUAUCUUGUAGCCUUUGGUUGGCUUGGGAACACUUUCCCUUUAUAUUUGGAUCAGCUGUAGUCUUCACUCUCCCUCGUGGCCACUUUAUCACUCUGUUAGUUUAGUUUAACUUUUGACCUGCUGGCUUCACACUGACGUUGGCUAUUUUGUUUCUAGUUGCUUUAUGUGUGACCGUCUCUUUAAGCUCAAAUUUUACCAGUAGCCUAUUAAAGACAUUAAUAAGAUAGUUUUCACUGUUCCUGUAACAUUUAAUGCCACCUGUGUAUAAACAACAUGCUCAAAGAAGCUGUGAAGUUUCAGGUUUGACAGAAAUCAUAAAAAUGAAGCUUUUGGGUCUAGAAAGAGAAAAACAGAGAUUUGGAUUUUAAUGUGCUAAGCUGAUAUUUUAAUAAAUACUUUCAAAUGAAAUGCACAAUUUGAACUGUAAUAUGUGUUUCAGUAAAAAUGAAUAAAAAAAACAUGAGCUUUG